ensembl:lncRNA
CCCUAAAGUGGUCACACCAGAACCUACCUCACGGAAGCGUGGUAGCCCUAUUCUGUUCUGGGAUCCCAGGAAAUGCUCGAUCGUGGGCGCCCCCGGCGUCCUCCAUGUUUCAUUUUGGGGCUCAGAGACUAAUAAGCAGGAAGAGUGGAGCUGUGAAGAUGCCAAGCUUUUAAAUAAAAGUGAGAGAGAAAAUGAACAAAUACAGAUUGAGUGCUUUCUGAAUGCAAUGUUCUGAUUCCUAAAUGCAAAAACACCUUAUCACUCGCAACAAAACAAGCAAAACCCAGCUACAAUCUUUCAUUUCAUUCAUUCGACAAGCCAGCAUUUACCGGGAGUCCGAGAACCAGGCUCUGUGAUCUGGCUGUGGGAAGUACAAGGCUGAAGCGGACACAGGUCCUAUAGUCCCGUUUCAAUAGAAGAGAGAAGACAAGUCCACCGGUAUAAGGAGGCAUAAGGAAGAAGGUGCUCACUGCAGCCAGAGAGGAAUAUUCAAGAUACUGAAGAAACAGGCCAGAGAGAUGGUUUCAGGCAGGUGGAAAGUAGGGCAGGUUUCCUUAUGGAAGCAGCAUUUGUCUGGAAAAUGGGUAGCAUUCGAUCCACGGGGAUAAGUAGAGGGUAGAAGAAACACAAAGGUGUAAACAAGAGAAGGCAAGCUACAACUUCCAGAAACAGGACACAGGGCAGUUUGGCUGGAUUGCAGGGUGAGGGACAGAGGGUGGGAGCUCCCAUUUUCUCACUGUGACCUGCUUUCACCUUAACAACUGCCGACACUCCCACCCCUAGGGAGAAAAGGCUCUGGAGAGCCGCGUCCAUCGGGGCUAGAGCCACCCUUGACCGGAAGCAGAGGAGCCUGGAGCUCCGCAGCUGCCCUAGAGGGCUGGGGGGCUUCAAGCCACAUGGGCCUCAGAGAGCCUCCUGGCUUGCUGACAGCCGCUUCUCACCCAGAUGGUGGCAGAGGCCCCAGCGAGGCCCCUUGACUCCUCUCCUGGUUCCGGGCUCUCCCUCCCAGCUGGGGGCAUUUCUCCUUAAGGGGGAGCUGGUUCUGGCUCUGCUCUGGCCCCCAAACCUGGUCUCAUUCAUCUGGCUCCCAGGGAGCCCAAGGGGCUGCACGCCUCCCCCUUGGCUUCUUCCUCUCGCAGUGAGGUCGGGGGCCCAGCGUAUUCAGUGUGCGCAGUCUGCAGCCAGCUGGCCCGACUCUCCCCCGGCACAGCUUCCCCCCUCCACACUCCCCCCGCUUCAGAGCAGUGCAAACGUGACGAGCGUGGUGUCGCCCGGGGCACCCAUCAUCACACAGAUGAAACUGGGAGUCAGCAGGUCCAGGUGGGAGCCUGGACACAAGCAUACCAACAAGCACAGGUGAUUCCAGCAGGUUAUCUGGAUGCACCUUGACACUCAGCUUAUUUGAAAGAAGAAUUGUUGAAAGACAGGUCUGAUUUUCAGAUUGCUUGAGAGCUCAGAGAUAGCCGGAACCAGGGAUCAAGAGAGCAAGAAGAAGCCGAGUCUUUCUGAACACCUCCCCGGUCAUUUGUACUCAUUCUGUCCACAUAAGGAUCACUGCAUUUUCCAGGCCAUCUCUUCCCACCGUUUCCUUGGCCCUCCCCAGACCGAGAAAACUGAGCCCUGGAGGAAUAGUCACUGGCUCAAGAAGACGACGACACAUCUGUUUGGGUUUAAACAGCUGCCAUAGUUCUAUCUAGAAUUCUUCUCUGAUUACAGCCUGGUCCACAGCAUCACCAUGCUGCGUGCACUGGGGGAAAGAGUCAAGACCGCUGGGUAAUUGCCGCUGAGCCUCCUCCAGCUGGGCUAGUAUGGCCAGCUGGCUUCAUCAGGCCUCACCCAGGCCACGCUUUACCUGGCCCGAGACAGGUAAAACCCAGAAGGUCUUGUCAAUGUAGAGCCCAGCUAAUCAGGAAGCAUUACGACUCCUUGGCUCCCAGGCCCCUCCGUGGUGCUCCCAUAGCUGCCACCUCCCCUGUGGUUUUAUCAUCUAGUGCCUAUGUAUCUGUCCGGGCUUCCCUGGUGGCUCAGGUGGUAAAGAAUCUGCCUGCAAUGCAGGANNNNNNNNNNNNNNNNNUGGGUUGGGAAGAUCCCCUGGAGAAGGAAAUGCAACCCACUCCAAUAUUCCUGCCUGGAGGAUUCCACGGACAGAGAUGCCUGGCAGGCUACAGUCCAUAGGGUCGCAGAGUCAGACACGACUGAAGAGACAGCACGCACGCAUGCCUGUAUCUGUCCAUCUCCUCUGCUAGAACAACAGUUCUGGAACGUUUCUGUCUUGUUUACAUUUGUGUCCUCACCUCUGGCAAAGUGCCCAACAUGCAGCAGGCACUCAGAAAAUGCUUGUUAAUAGCAGCAAUAACACACUUACUAAGCAGUAGAAAGGGCUGGGUGCUUUGCGGUCAUUAAAUAAACCAGUCCUCACAAAAACCCUCAAGAGCUAUAAGUGAACCCAUUUCACAGGUGAGGAAACCAAGGCUGGGAGAUGAAGUAACUUUUCAGCUAGCUAGUGGCAGACUGGGAUGGCUCCGGGCUGAUGGGAGUCUCUGGGUCCCCACUCCUGCUACACCCUUCCCAGCUCUCCAAAGCCUCCAUCCAGCUCAGCUGCCCACAGCCCAGCUGCCAGGUCAGAACAGAGUGGCCCCUCCCUGCUCCCCCGCAAGGUCUUUGCUAAGAGCCUGACUGUGAAGAACUUUUAAGGUGAGAGAAGCUGCCUGGGUCGUCCUCUUCCUGUUCUGGAGGAAACAGACCGUCGCAGGGGACUCAGAAAUACCACAGACACUGCGAACAUUCACCAGGAUAAAGCUGUGGACACCGUGAACCCCUGCCCUUCCUCUCCAGGCCUCCUUUCCUGUUUCUUCGGUGGGAAGAGGACCACGCCCCACUGGAAACCAUCCUCCGCAGGCCUGGGGGCGCCAGACCGCUGGGAGGACGGAGAUGUUGCCGGGUGAUAUUCUCCUAGCUGUGAGCGGAGAUACCCAUCCCGGGGAAGGCAGGAGUCUCUCCAGGAGAAGCCUUUGUGAAGGCAAGUCACAGAGGCCAGGGACAGAGGACCCCUUGCUGCUGGCUCCACGCAGACUCCCCGCCCCGCCUCCCCUCCCUGGGCACUCUGGAAGACUCCUCUUUUCUGAUGGGUUCGGGUUACAUCAGGCCCAAGGCUUUUCGUGGUUAAUGGCCAGCCCCGGGGCUUUAUUGAAUCCUCCAGGGGCUGGUUAACAGCAGAUAGCCUUAGUUCCCAGGGGGAAAAAAGAGAGGAGUGAGAGAGAGAACAGGCCUCUGGAGAGGCUUGGAGGAGGGCAAGAGAGAGCAUGACUCAGGAGAAGCCAGCACUAGAGCCCUUCAAGGGUGGGAGUGAAGCUAGACCCAAGUGGAAGGAACGCUGACUCAGCCAGGCUGGGAGGGCGGCCCAAGAAGGCAAUGGGCGGUGGGCUGAGGUCCUUGAGAGGACAAUGGACAGACAGACUCUGUAGCCAUGUCGUGUGCUCGGAACCAUCACCAUCGGGCCUGGUGGUCAGUUCUGGAGAAUCCCAAAUGAGCCACCCUGAGACCAGGUCAGGGUGGGGGCAGGAAUGGCUGUGUCUGGGGAGGCUUAGUCACGUGCUGGCCUGCCCACUACAGUUCAUCUGUGUGCCGAGGCUGUGCUUAUUUUUACCUGAGUAGGUUCAGUUUCUGAUCACAGAAACGGUGGGGCUUUCCAUUGGUUUCUAUGGAAACAUUAGACAGAGCAUCUGCUACCCCAGCAAACAAGGCUAGGGUGGUAAGACUCAUGCUGGAAUGACUUCGCUGACUUUACUUAGGAAAAUUGCCCCACCUGCAUUUUUACCGCUGCCUUCUUGUGUGGCAGGGGAGAGGAAGGGCAGUUCAGAGGGACCAGCUGGCACCUAGGGAAGGAGAGAGGGCUGGCGAAACCGAAAGACAAGCAUUCAGAGAAGCCCCUUGGUUUCCACUUUGAAGCCCCAAAGUAGGGUCCCAUGGUGAGGUCACAAGAGCCUGGGUGCCCGUCCCAGUUGCCCCCUCUCAUGGCUUCCCCCAGGGCAGCCAGCCUGUUGUCCAGGAGUCCCUGAGGUCCCACGGAGGGGGACGUAGGUGGAGGAGCAAGCUACCAAGUGCAGGAGGAGGUGAGAGUUGAGCGUGCUCGGUUUUCUGGAAUAGAGGGAGGGAGGGNNNNNNNNNNNNNNNNNNNNNNNNNNNNNNNNNNNNNNNNNNNNNNNNNNNNNNNNNNNNNNNNNNNNNNNNNNNNNNNNNNNNNNNNNNNNNNNNNNNGGUUUUCUGGAAUAGAGGGAGGGAGGGAGGUGCUGAAGGCCUUGGCUCUGGAAUCAAAAGGAAGGCGCUGGUGCACGUGCCCAUGUGAGAAGUGGUUUUAUUCCAGGUGUUUUUCAUAAAGACAAGGUCCUCAGGGACAGCGAGUGGCACAUGCUUUGGUCAAGAGGAAAAGCAAAAACAGAACAGGGCUGAGUCCCAAAGGAGGCUGACAAGUGCUGAGCCCCCAAUCACAGGGAAGGAGGGGGCCCUCUGAAAGGCUGAAUGGCAGUCCUCUUACUUUCAGUAAGAGAUGCCCGAGAUUCCUGUCCCAAAGGCCACGCUACCCGCCGGGGCAGACACACACACAAGGGAGAUGGCGGUGGAUAAACAUCUCACAGAGGAUGGGAAAAGUGUGGCUCUGGGGGCCAAGGGCUCCUUGCUGUGAGCGCAGAGGGUGCAGGCUGAGGCCCAGGAGCACUGCGGAGAGCCAGGAGGUGAAAGGAAACCACUGAGAGCCCUCCAGGGUGGGUGUGGCGGGCCACAGCCCCAAGGCUGUGCAGAGGGAGCGG